ACUCUCGCGAAUCUACACACAACGACGAUGGUUCAACUCAGUCUAGCCCCUGUCACAACUAACGACUGAAAUAUGAGAAACAUCGUCGUCCAUGCGCAGUUUCAUCCUUUCUUCCUAUGCUGUUCGAUGACAAGAAAUUACAAAUUGCGAAACGUCGAGCCAAAGUUUCCAUAGAGCGAUGAGUGCUGCUUUCUCCAGAGAACUGAAGAAAUUGUUUAUAAAAUAUACAAUAUAUAUAUAUACACCAAUGCCUCAAAAAUAUGCUUUUCCAGUAAUGUGCUCACACUAAAAAGUUUAUGAUAGAAGAUAGAUGAUAAAAGAUAGAUAGUAGAAAUGAUUUAAAAAUGAUAAAAUACAAGUACAAUGAUGUGUUUGACAUAUUAAAAAACGUCUAUAACGGAGCUAUAAAUAUUUAAAAAAAAUUAAAAGAAAUGUUUGGUAUAGGCUGUUCAGUCCUGGACGUUCGGAUAAUGUUAAUACCAAACCCAGGGUGGAGCGAUACAUACCAAUUUUCAUUCUUCCUUCGUGUUGAACCGCACUUUCUUUUAAGACAGAAAAUCCAGUGUGUUUAACGAAGGGUAUGUAUGAUAUAUAUAUAUAUCGUGUUGACAACGAAAGAAGAUAGAUAAUCUUACAGUUUUAGGAAUAUAUAAACGCUUUUGUAUAUAACAGCAGAAAAGAAAAACUGUUGGAGAUAGUCAGAAAACAAAGAAAGUUAGAGAGAGAAACAACAUAUCAAAAACACCAGGCAGCAGGGCAGAAGAGAGAGAGAGAGGAAAGGAAUAACGAAGCGCCGCAAAGAACGAACGGUGGGGGUCACCCAUCCAUUCCUUAAACGCUAUGAAUAGAUGUUUAACUGAAAUAAGCGAAUUUAUGAUGAACGUGCACUUCGACCAAAUAAUAACUUUAGAUUCCUAUUAUAAAUAAUUAAUAUCAGCAUUGUAUUAUUUUUAUGAUAUAUUUUUAAAAUUAGUUAAUAAUUAAUCGACAUUCAAGGAACGAUAAGAAUAAUCGUAAUACCAGUCAUUGAAUGUAUGAUCAAACUGGAGAGGUGUCUGUUUUAGAAUCUUUUGUAAUUGUAAUACAAUAAUAAGAUUAAAUAUGACUUCGGAUCCAUUUAGAUACUUAAACAAAUUAACCGAAUGAUUUAAUUUCUUUUAUUAUAAAUAUGAACAUUUUCAUUUUGUCUUUGCAGUUUGAUCAAAAUAUUUAAAUCUGACGAUGAUAGAAAUUUAUAGAAGUUUUGAAAGAUUAUUUAAGAUAUUAGAAAAUGAAUAGGCAGACAUUGAUAAGUCUUUUACUGCACAUUAUUGUCUUAAUGAAGAAAGUAAUAUUCAUAACUUUUCUUCUUUUUUCUUCUCUUUUGUUAUACAUCUUCAUUAUAAAAGGAAUAGCAAUCUUAACCCUUACAUCGAGCAAUUGUUUUAACCCAUUUGAUGUUUAUCCCAUUGUCUGAUUUCUUGAGAUCUUUCACUCAAUCGUUACGACAUUCUGUCUCAUAAACAGGACAGAUUUUAAUAAAAAUUUCCACAAUCUCUACUAUGAUAUACCUCACGUAAAUCGAUUAAGAUCCAUUCACUGAGAGCAUUUUCAUCAUAAUUCCUAAACUUCAUUUAUCUCGUCUAAAAGAAAAAUAUUUUCUCUGGUAAAAAUAAGAAGAGAAUAUGUACAAGUAGCGACGAAACGUGAAACGCUUUAAUAACUUCGAAGUUUUUUCGAAGCUUGAAAUCGUUGAUAUACAUUUCAAAGUCUUGAUAAAUCUCGAGUCUUUCGUCAAUUUCGUUAUUUAAACCACAAUAGUCUCACGUGCUGGGAUCUAAAACAUCAUUUUCGAAUUGUUUCGUAGUUUCGAACAUGGUUCCAAACUUACAACGCCUGAAAAUCUUGAUAUGUCUCAAAUCUUUCAUCAUUUUCGUUUUAGGGACAAUGAAUACUUUCGCUGAAAAUGAUAUGUUUUAAUAUAUUUUUUUUGGCAUUGAUUAGUAUAUCCUAGUAUAUAUUCCAGCACUCGAAUUACUCAUUGUAACUCGAAAUCUUUUCCCACGUCAUUAAUCUUUCGAACUCAGCAGCCGAUGUACAGUUCCUUCCUUCAUGUGUCAAUCAUAAACAAGAGACACAAGCUUAUCCGUUCAUUUGAUAUAUAACAAAAGCAUAUUGUUUUGUACGUUACUGCAAAGAUUUGAAUAUCCGGAUACGAGGACUUGAGUUCGAAUAUUUCAGUAUUUGGUUUCGUAA